UACGUAGGGGGCAAGCGUUGUCCGGAUUUAUUGGGCGUAAAGAGCGUGUAGGCGGCCAGACAGGUCCGUUGUGAAAACUCGAGGCUCAACCUCGAGAUGUCGAUGGAAACCGUCUGGCUAGAGUCCGGAAGAGGAGUGUGGAAUUCCUGGUGUAGCGGUGAAAUGCGCAGAUAUCAGGAAGAACACCGGUGGCGAAGGCGGCAUCCUGGACCGGCAUUGACGCUGAGGCGCGAAAGCUAGGGGAGCAAACGGG
rnacentral:rRNA from 1 species